GUGUUUAGAAACUCUGCUCAUCUGGUACUGCAGCCGCCUGAUUUCCAGUUGCCACUCCCCCAUCGAUAAAUGAGAUUGUAGCACUGCUGUAGGUGGGAUAAAAAUAAAGUCACUAGCUCUCAGGACUUGUUGCAAAAUUCUUUAUGUACAAAUACUAAUUUCUUGCUGAAUUCUUAAGCAAAUACAAAUUGAACACUCAGGUAAGAAAAAUGAAAUCCAAGAUGAAUGUGAUAUGGAAUCAUGAAGUCCUGCCUCAAACAGAGACCAGUAGCUGAGAUUUCAGAGCUGGCCUCCAGCUGGGACCACUUGUGAUAUUUACAGAUGGGAUGCUGCAGAUGAGAGAUUUGCUUUGCCAUGGAUGGAGGCAGCAUGCAGUGGAGUAUCAGAGCCAGAGGUACCAUCCUUCGUUGUUGCAAAACCUCCCCACAGUAUUUGGUGGUAAGAUGCUUUCCAGCAGCUUUAUUCUUGUUCCUGGACAGAAUAGGGAAUGCUCCUUCUCAUAAGACAUAGAACAUUAGAUUCACCAGAUGCUUUUUUCAGCAAAUCAGGCAUUAGGGGGUCUGGGGGCAAGUAAGUUGCCUGGGAGGAUAGGGGAAUUUGGCUCACUGCUCAGCAGAGGAUGUCCCAGGCCCAAGGGGACUGUUUAUACCUUGGUAUAUCUUUGUAAGCCAGAGGGAAAUGCCCUUUCAAACAUGUUAAAAUUCAUUAAAGCUUUAGAGAGAAAAACAGAGUCUGGAUAACCAGAUGUUUGGACGGGGUAUACUCUGGCAGUUGGUAAUUAGCUUUAUAGAAGUAGGACAAGAACAGACUGAUCACAAUAGAAAUAAUAAUAUGCUGAUCUUUUCUGUUUUUCUGUGUCCCACCCCUCCAUGACUGCCUGCUUGUUCCCCAGAGAUAUCAAACCUUUGGCCAGAGCAGUUAGAAAUGUGGUUUAAACAGCUGUCAUUUUGCAUCCUGCUGGCUGUUUAGCUCCCUUUUAUCCUCUGUCCCAGAUGCAGGGCUCUUCAUGAAUGAUGUACUUGCAUAGUCCCUCUGCUUGAAGUACUGACUGUCCUUCCUGAACAAGUUCUUUCUCAGUGUCAUGCAAGACAAAAAACCAACUGCUGUCCCAACAGUAGUUAAAUUUUUUCAAACAUUUUCGUUUGUUGAUGUUUGUUUAUUGUUAAAUACUGGCAGCUGAGCAGCCAUUGUCCAUGAUGGUGCGUGUGCAUCUACACUGGCACAAUGGACUGCUCUGUGACUAUAGAUUUUCUCUUGUGUUUUCUUUUUCAUUGGCAAGUUAAAACAAUAUAGAACUAUUUCAGUCCCAAACCCUGAAUAAAGGAUUAAGAAUUUAACAAAGAAAUACUUCUAAUGCUUGUGAGAAAAAGCAGCUGAACAUCAUUCCCGUAAUUAAUUGAAUGACUUGUCAUAGAAUAAUACUAUGGUUUACACUGUUGGGGACCUUAAAGAUCAUCUAGUUCCAACCCCCUGGCAUGGGCAGGGACACCUUCCACUAGACCAUAUUGCUCAGGGCCCCCUCCAACUUGGUCUUGAACCCUCCCAGGGAUGGGGCAUCCACAGCUUCUCUGAGCAACUUGUUCCGGUACCUCAUCACCCUCACCGUAAAGAAUUUCGUCUUAGUAUCAAAUCUAGCCCUACUGUCUUUCAGUUUUAAGCCAUUCCCUUUGUCCUAUGGACUUAAAAUUAGCUCAUUUUAAUGACUUUGGGUGGCAACUAUCAUAAAUGUCUGAAAAGAGUCUUUAUCAUGCUCAGAAAGUUAAGUAACUGGUUCAUCCAUGUUUCAUACUGGAUGAAGUUCUACAACUUCCAUUCUUUUGUGCUGGGAAUACCGGCACUGCAGACACUGACUUGCUGGGAGGUGGAAUUGGCAUACCUUUAGUCCACCACCAUUUCAUAAUGGUCAUAUGAACUGUUUGUUGAUGAUGGAAUUAGUGGAACCGCUUCUCACCAAUCAAUAUUACCACCCUGGGAUACUGUCUAGUUUACUGAAUACUUGUCUGAUAAUCAUUUUACCUACCUACCUAUUAAAGAAAUCCAUGGCCAUAGUAGCAUGGCAACCUUGAAAAUCCUCAAGAAGUUUAUAAAUUGCUUGUACCACCGUACUAAGUGGUUAAAUUGAUACUAACAUUUUACUGGUUUUAACAUGUGUGAAGGUAAAAGUCUGUGGUGCCCUAAAGAAAAUGUUGUGAUUUGAAUGGUGCUCAAAGUUUUGAGAUCAAGUCUAAGCCUUAAUUCAGUGUUUUCCUACAUCCUUCACUUUAUGGAUCUUUAAGUUUUGGCCAAUGAAGAAAUAUAGCCUUCUGAAAACUUUGCAUAUAUAGUUAAUUACAAAAGAGAUAUGCUUUCUUAAAAAUGUGCUCUUUAAAAAAUCUGGUUUUGUGGGCACCUUGGAAAUAGUUCACAGGACUUUGAGAGAUCUGCAAACUAGAAGUUGAAAGUUCAAAGCUACAGGUUUAAAGCAUAAAGGAUGUUGUUCAGUGAGCCAUCACAGUAGGGGCAAUAUUAUUUAGUAAUGAUGAAUAGAGAGCAAACUUAUUGUAAUGGUAGCAUCUCUAGUAUUUACUAAUUAACUAUUUCCUUUUGAAAUCAUUCUACAAGGUCAAAUGUUUGCUGCAGAAGAGUUUGCCAUCUCUUAUCUUGGCUUGUGUGUGUGUGCUGCUGUGCAGUGAUUGCUUCACAAGGAAGGCUAAUGUCUAUGGAGCUACCAGAGGACAGAUUUUCUCUAAGCGUUGAUUUUGUACAUUGUUGAAGUGCAAGGACCAAUCCUGACAUUGGAUAUGAUUUAUUCAGUGGGUGGGAAAGUUGUCUGCAGCAGGUGGAUUUAUUCCAAACUCUAAGAAGCUACAGCCCUGUAGGAAUUUUUUGUUGCUUGGAUGUGUGUGAAAGGUGUUUGCAAUGUUUGAUAAACAGCACAAGAGUAGGAUAAAAAUCUCUCUGGCUUCUCAAGAAAUCUCAUUAUUCAUGGUGUAACUGUAAAAUUUGCUGCUUGCUCGUGAGGACAAAUUUGAAAUGAAAAUAAACAUUUUCCUCUCUUUAUGAACUCUUAAACCAUUUAUAAAAUGUUACAUAUGUAUUCACAUAUUCACACACACACCUUCCUGGAAGUUUUUGUCCUUGCUUAUUUUCUGCACAGUGCUUUUUUGUUGUUGUUGAAUAUCUGUGACAUAUGAGCUACUCAUACUUUUUGCUCAACACAAGGUGGCAGUAAGAUAUUGUCCAGUGACAUACAAUAGCUUGGGUUGCUUGUUUUCCCUCCUGUUUACUUAGCCGUCAAAUAACAAAAGCCCUCGUGAUGAAUGAGCAUUGAAAGCAAAAGAGGUUGUAAUAACAACGGUUUAAAAGGUGCACAGAUAAAGCAAAUGCUCCAGAUAAGAUUCCAACUGAUUUGCUACACUAUAGUAAGCCAUAUUGUAUCAUACUGUGGACAGUAUCACAAAAUGAUAUAUUGCUCUCUUUUUAUCCUUCUGUUGUUAUUAUUUCAUUGGAAUUUGCACAUUAAAUAAAGGCUGCUAGUGCAAAGGUGGAAAUUUACCUGGUUUUCAAUUUGUAAUUUAAAAACAACACAAUAUUGUUUGAGAUUCUGCAUGUUGGAAGAGACAAAGCUUUCUACCUCAGUUUUUGGUUGUCUGGAAAACACUCCAGUAUCAUUGCAUUGAGUAGUAGCUAGAGCAAUAAACUCCUUUUCAAAAUGAAGUGAGAGGGAGAAAUAAAGAGCAAUGUGCCAGAGUAUUUCACUGACAAUGUUAGGAGAGGUUUUUCCCUUGUUUUGGUUGGAUAUAGGUCAUAUGCUGACAAUCCUGAGUGCAGACCAGCAAUUUGCAAAUGUAGCUGCUGUUUCUUUUAUUAUUUGUAUUCAUAUUCCAGCAGGCCCAAAGCAGAUUCAAAGCAUGGCUGGGAUACUGGACUUGCUAAUAUGAUUGAAAUUCAUCCUUUUGGGACAAGUUAUGGUAUUUAAGGUCCAUCUCACUCCCAGCUUCCCAGAAUACUAUGAAGCAUUUUUGCAUCAUGUUUUUGACUAGCUGUUUACCUGAAAAGGAGUUCCAGCAGCAUGACCCCAACCUCCCAGCAGCCACUUGGUUUGUCUGUAGCCUCUGUACACACUAACACACAUGUUGAGAACAAAACACAAAUUAGAGAUGUUUCUGACAAGCUGAUUGAAUGGAAACUCUGCCUCCUCGUUUCACAAGUUAUGCACGUGCGGUUUAUUUUCCAAGAACUGGUUGGCAGAGAUCAUGUUAUUCUCUUUUCCAUCAGAAUGAUUCACUUAUAGCUGCUAAAAGCCAAUACCACUGUUGAUACUGUGAACUCCUGUGCAUGUGGAUCACUCACACUCAGCUUGGAAUAUGCAUCCUUUAGUAUCUAUCAAAAAUCUAUUCGUUUUCUGAUGUUAUAAAAUAAUAAAGACCAUUAUAAAUACUGUUACACAGCAAUGUAGACCUACUUCUUCUCUUGCUUACCCCUUACAGUUUUGCCCUUGAAUACUUGCCAUCAGGAGAUGAAUUAUGGACUUUGAGACUAUACAAAAUAAUGCAGUUUUCAGGAAGAAAAUUCCCAGUAAUAAUCUUGAUUUUAUGAUAAUGGCUUUUAUGAUAAUGAAGAAUAGCCCCUGCAGAGCACCUUUAAAGUGGUGUUUGCACUAUUCUCAACGUGUGGUUUAUGCAUGAUCACAGGGUUUGGUGUAAUAAAAUGAUACGCUGUAAAACUUAUCUUCUUCGUCUAUGUAUGACUGUUCAAGAUAAUAAUAAAAUUGAUGGUCCUAGGGACUCUUCUGGAAAUCUUCUUAGGAUUCAGCUGUUGUCCAAGGACUCUAAACUAAAUGUUUCAUGUGAGUUUCAUGGUUCUGCAUCAUAAAAAUCAAAAAUGUGUAGAAAUAUUGUUAUUAUUGUUAUUCUGUGCUGAGCUAACAAGUCAUGUGUCUUCUUUCUAUGGGACUAAAGAUAACAAACACUGCAACACUUGGCUGCAAAGUGAUAAUUAUUCACAGAGAAUAGGGGCUUCUGCUUCAAUAUAUACCUGCAGUUUCCUUGGAUGAAAGUCCAGCAAAUCUGAUACUGCUCAAAAUGUGACUCUUAUAAAACUGAGACUCCACGGUAAAGGAAUCUUCUCUGAAAAUAUCUGGCUACUUGUGAAGUCUUUCUAAGAGAGUUUUAGUAUCUGGUAACAUUGCUUUGAAGUUUUUACAUUAUUUUAAUCAUGUGCCAUUGAUUUAAGUUUGUAAGCCUGAAAUAGCGCAUUUUCGACACCCUCAUAUUACAUUGGAAUGGCUGAAACUCUAGUAAACAGAGCUAUUACAUUGAAUGCCCAAGAGAGGGACACGGGAAAAAAAAAAUCAGUAGCAUGCUCCAAGAAAGAAAUCUGAGGUCAAACAGUUUUCAUGGGAGACAAACUACGUGGCUGGUAUUAUCCUGGCUAAUUGUGGGUUACAGAAUCUCUCUUGAGAUUUUAUCAUGGCCAAUUGCUGUAUUAGCUUUCCUUUUCUACAUCUGUUUGUGGGUGUGGAGAGCACUCAGAAGUGACCCUUUCCUUGAAGACUUUUUGUACAAGGAGCACGGAUGAGAUGCUAGCACAGACUGUCUGAAUGGAUUUGCUGUGCUGUUCGUAGGUUUGCUGGCCAUAUUCACAUAGACAGCAGACAGGUUCUCUGUCUUUAGGCUUCUUGGCACAGUGGAUGGUUCUCUGGCAUAAAUCAUGUUUUGUAUGCACAUGAGGAACAACGUGGUCUCUUCUGAGAAGCAGGAUAACCUCAGGGUUAAAGAUAUUUUGAGGAAUUUUCAAGCCAGUUAAGUUGUCUGCAUAAACAAGGCCAUCCUGUCAGUGAAGUGUUUCUUAAUUUCUGCUUCUAAUUAAUACAUGCAGUCACAUCUUUUUCAUACAAACACCUGAUUUCCAGCUCUUUUCCCAACCCUAUUAAAAUUGGUACAACAACCAGUGGUUUCAGCUGGGUUAGGACUUGAACAUCUGUCAUUAAGAGUUGCUGUGCAGUUUUAAGGCAAACCAGUCUGAAAAGCUUUAUGUCUUAAAUGCUAGCAAUUUCUGGGACCAUAUAAAAAUGAUACCUCUUUCUUUUCUGAGUAUCUUACUAUGUGGUACAAAGUUUGGACUAGACUAUGCUUGUUAUAUUUACUGUGACAUUCAUUUCUUGUACACAGAGGCAGGACUUCUCUUUCAGAAGGCAGGAUUGUGGACGACAAGCAGCUGAAUAGCAGGAUGAUGGUGCUUUUUGGGAAAUAGUCACUACUUUGUUUUAUAAUUCUGUAUUGCAAAAAGGAUCCAGGUGUUACAGAUUCAAGCUUUAGUCAGAAGCUCUCCAUGUCUUCAUGCAGAGAAAAGAACAAAAUUUUUAAGUGUAUCUUAAAUGAAAAUUGAAGAGAUUAUAAUGUGUUUUUCUUACAGUAGGUCAAGAAGCCAAAUACAGCCCAAGCAAGUGGAGAAAGACACAGAUUUUGGAGCAGUGCAGAUCCUGGUAUUUAAACAACCUAGGAUUACAAAAGGGACUUUGUAAUUGAAUUGUAAAAAUUUAGCAUACUAUGAGCUGCAUGCUCCUCUUGUAUCAUCAGUUGUUCAUAAGCUCAUUACUUAUCCCUGAAGGCUAGACUAAUUUUCUUUGCGGUCUUCAUCCUAAGUAUUUUGUGAGCAGGAAAGUAAAUGAAAUAAAUUCUUUCUGAUUCCAUAGCAGAAAAAUCUUAGGUCAGCACUGAGUGCCAUUUGUAUGUUGUCAUUGAGAGCCAGCUUGACUCUGGGCAUAAAGUAUGAGAAUUUGACUCCUGUUUGAUUUUAAGAAUAAACUAUUUUAAGGUUA